rnacentral:rRNA from 1 species
UACGGAGGGUGCAAGCGUUAUCCGGAUUCACUGGGUUUAAAGGGUGCGUAGGAGGGCAGGUAAGUCAGUGGUGAAAUCUUCGAGCUUAACUCGGAAACUGCCGUUGAUACUAUCUGUCUUGAAUACCGUGGAGGUGAGCGGAAUAUGUCAUGUAGCGGUGAAAAUGCUUAGAUAUGACAUAGAACACCAAUUGCGAAGGCAGCUCGCUACACGAAUAUUGACUCUGAGGCACGAAAAGCGUGGGGAUCAAACAGG